rnacentral:rRNA from 1 species
AGGAUAAACGCUGGCGGCGUGCCUAACACAUGCAAGUCGAACGUCUCUUCUUUCGGGAAGAGGAGUGGCGGACGGGUGAGGAACACGUGGGAACCUGCCCUUUAGUGAGGAAUACCGGCGAGAAAUCGCCGACAAUCCCGCAUAGCUUCGGGAACGAAGAAAGCAGCAAUGCGCCUGGGGAUGAGCCUGUGGCCGAUUAGCUAGCUGGUGGGGUAAUGGCUCACCAGGGCGACGAUCGGUAGCUGGUCUGAGAGGAUGAUCAGCCACACUGGGAUUGAGAACGGCCCAGACUCCUACGGGGGGCAGCAGUGAGGAAUCUUCCGCAAUGGGGGCAACCCUGACGGAGCAACGCCGCGUGCAGGAGGACGCUUUUCGGAGUGUAAACUGCUUUUCUCGAGGAAGAAAGCGGACGGUACUCGAGGAAGAAGCCCCGGCUAACUACGUGCCAGCAGUCGC